UUGUGAGAGGAACAUUGUCUCUACAUGGGCCA
rnacentral:piRNA from 1 species